rnacentral:rRNA from 1 species
GACGAACGCUGGCGGCGUGCCUAAUACAUGCAAGUAGAACGCUGAAGAGAGGAGCUUGCUCUUCUUGGAUGAGUUGCGAACGGGUGAGUAACGCGUAGGUAACCUGCCUUGUAGCGGGGGAUAACUAUUGGAAACGAUAGCUAAUACCGCAUAACAAUGGAUGACACAUGUCAUUUAUUUGAAAGGGGCAAUUGCUCCACUACAAGAUGGACCUGCGUUGUAUUAGCUAGUAGGUGAGGUAAUGGCUCACCUAGGCGACGAUACAUAGCCGACCUGAGAGGGUGAGCGGCCAAACUGGGACGGAGACACGGCCCAGACGCCUACGGGAGGCAGCAGUAGGGAAUCUUCGGCAAUGGUGGCAACCCUGACCGAGCAACGCCGCGUGAGUGAAGAAGGGUUUCGGAUCGUAAAGCUCUGUUGUAAGUCAAGAACGGGUGUGAGAGUGGAAAGUUCACACUGUGACGGUAGCUUACCAGAAAGCGACGGCUAACUACGUG